CGAACGAAGCACCUUACUUGAUUCUUCGGAUGAAGGUCUGGUGACUGAGUGGCGGACGGGUGAGUAACGCGUGGGUAACCUGCCCUGUACAGGGGGAUAACAGCUGGAAACGGCUGCUAAUACCGCAUAAGCGCACGAGGAGACAUCUCCUAGUGUGAAAAACUCCGGUGGUACAGGAUGGGCCCGCGUCUGAUUAGCUGGUUGGCAGGGUAACGGCCUACCAAGGCAACGAUCAGUAGCCGGUCUGAGAGGAUGAACGGCCACAUUGGAACUGAGACACGGUCCAAACUCCUACGGGAGGCAGCAGUGGGGAAUAUUGCACAAUGGGGGAAACCCUGAUGCAGCAACGCCGCGUGAGUGAAGAAGUAUUUCGGUAUGUAAAGCUCUAUCAGCAGGGAAGAUAAUGACGGUACCUGACUAAGAAGCUCCGGCUAAAUACGUGCCAGCAGCCGCGGUAAUACGUAUGGAGCAAGCGUUAUCCGGAUUUACUGGGUGUAAAGGGUGCGUAGGUGGCAGUGCAAGUCAGAUGUGAAAGGCCGGGGCUCAACCCCGGAGCUGCAUUUGAAACUGCAUAGCUGGAGUACAGGAGAGGCAGGCGGAAUUCCUAGUGUAGCGGUGAAAUGCGUAGAUAUUAGGAGGAACACCAGUGGCGAAGGCGGCCUG
rnacentral:rRNA from 1 species